rnacentral:rRNA from 1 species
CCUACGGGAGGCAGCAGUGGGGGAUAUUGCACAAUGGGGGGAACCCUGAUGCAGCGACGCCGCGUGGGUGAAGAAGCGCCUCGGCGCGUAAAGCCCUGUCAGCAGGGAAGAAAAUGACGGUACCUGAAGAAGAAGCCCCGGCUAACUACGUGCCAGCAGCAGCGGUAAUACGUAGGGGGGAAGCGUUAUCCGGAUUUACUGGGUGGAAAGGGGGGGGAGACGGCGAUGCAAGCCAGGAGUGAAAGCCCGGGGCCCAACCCCGGGACUGCUCUUGGAACUGCGUGGCUGGAGUGCAGGAGGGGCAGGCGGAAUUCCUGGUGUAGCGGUGAAAUGCGUAGAUAUCAGGAGGAACACCGGUGGCGAAGGCGGCCUGCUGGACUGCAACUGACGUUGAGGCCCGAAAGCGUGGGGAGCAAACAGGAUUAGAUACCCCGGUAGUC